AACAGCCGACAGGGGAGCGCACACAGCGCUGAGAGUGCGGACGCUCGUACGAAGACGGGCGGCCGCAGACCCUCGAACCUCGCCCGGGUCAUGCCGGGUAGGAAGUCGAUGAGCCGAUGAG
rnacentral:ncRNA from 1 species